AGUUACUUCUUUAAGAAAAGAAGUCUUUAUUUCAAUUACAAAAAAGGUUCUGGGGCAGGAGUUCAUCCGAUGGACAGUUCUCCAGAUCUGAGAGAUAUUAAUGUAGGCCGGCAUACAGAUCCUCUCUAUCAAAGAGAAAGUGGUAUCUUGGUGGCUCCUGUCCCAGGAACUACAAAAAAAAAAAAAAAAAAAAACCAUGAGCUCUUCACCAGAUGACUCUGACCUUAAUCUACCGAGAACUGGCCAGAUUCACCUUGAUGGAGGACCUCGGCGCACCUCACCGGACGACGACCAUCAUAAUCUGUGCUUGGGCUGGAUGGGAAGAUGUGGAGAUUACAAAAAUAAACUAGUAACCUCGAAACGUAUAAUUCAGAAA